GUCCGCCUCUUCUCCUUCCCUCCCCUCGCGCCAUCGCCGGUGCCGCACCCCGGUGGUUUGGGUUCCUGCCCUAGAGAGCUGAGCUAGGGCGCCGCCGCUAGCCUUCGUCUUCUUCGCCAACCCGAAGCCUCGCAGAGGCAAGCUGGUGCUCCGGCCGCGCAGGUGUUUGUGUGUUUGCUGCACCGAUAUACCCUUUUGUGCGUCUCCAGUGCCUGCGGAUGGUCCAGGGAAUGGCGCCUUCCGGCGAGCCCGGUGGUGAAGAUCUGCACAAAAGGGCACUUGAGAACCACCGUAAGGAGGCUGUGGGGUUCCUCAUCCUUGCUAAGUCCAUACUCAGCGACGAUGCAUACAAGGAUCUCAUCAAGACAUCACAGGAGAUUGUUAAACGAAGUUCAUGUACUGAAGGUGGAAUCACGGCCAAAAAGUGCGAAGAAAUUCUGUCGGAAGUGUUUGCUGGCCAAACUCACGUCCUAAAGGCCUUCCAUCUCUUUCUGGCUGGGCGUGAUCCCUUCCACGACCACGACAGCCAGCAGAGCUUACAGCUUGCACUCUCUUUCCUUUCGAAAGUGAAGGAGUCCCCGUGUAUAUCCCAUGAAGAUUACAAUGAUUUAAUAGCCACCCUGACUCAGUUUAUUGUCACAAAAACCGUGGGAGUUGAAGACGUUUACAGAAAGGUAAAGAGAGCCAUGUAUUGGUGCCCAGAGUUCAUACAAAUCUUCGAAAAUUUUCUGUCUGAUAGCCCAAGGGUGACUCUACCAAAUGAGCAAUCUCACCGAAGUCCAAAGACUAGUCCUACUGACAAGGCAGUUUUAUGCUUUACUCCAGAUGCAAAUCAUAGCUUGGAUGGUAACCGAACAAAAACAACUAAUAUCAAAUGUAAUGUGUCUCAAGUGGGGCAUCCCCACGAUCAAGACCAUGAAGAAACAGAGUACAAUGUCAGGCAGAGACAUACUCAAAGGAUCCUUGACUCCUUUGAAACACCUACCACAGGUAAUGGAGAAUCACUUCUUGCAGAAGAGUAUGAGGGAGACAAAACUGAUCCCUUACCAGACUGGAGUUCCUCAAGAGAAAAUGAAUUACCCCCAAAAGUGAACCUCGAUAUGUGCACACGUUGCACUACUAGCUAUUACCUACUACCAAAGAAUUGUUUAACUCUAAAAUCAAGUUACCGGACCGAGCUGGGGCAGUCUAUAUUUAACGACACAUUGGUUUCUGCUACCUCUGGGAGGGAGGAUUGCUUUAAAUUCAGAACUAAAAAUCAUUAUGAAGAAAAUAUUUUCAAAUGUGAAGAUGACAUGUUUGAGAGUGACAUGCUAUUGCAGCGCUACAAAGCAACCGCUGACUUUAUUGGAAAUCUGCAAGACAAUGUUGACAGCGCUAUGAAAAUUCAAGAGUAUCUAACUCCCUUACAUAGGAGGUGCAUUGAACAGUUAUACGAUGAACAUGGCCUCGACAUGCUUGAUGCACUGUGGGAGAAAAUUGAUACCAGUACAGCUCUUGUUAUUCUACAUUCUCGUUUAAAUCAGAAGAUAGACGAUUUGUCAGAGGCACGGUUAUCUUUGAAUAAAACGUGCUCCAAUAUUAUUGCCAGUAAUUAUCACAGAUCACUUGAUCAUCGAAGCUCGUCCUUCAAACAAUUGGAUAAGAGGAGGAUGAGCCCAAAAGCUUUGCUUGCUGAAGCCAGAGAAAUUAAUAUGGCAAGGUUGAACAAUGGGAAUCGACAUGUUUCUUCUGCUUGCAACAAUCAAUCAAGUUUGAUUUUGGAACAUGUACCUAAAGAUACUGAGCUUCACAUCCACAAUGACAUAGACAGGAUGGUUCGCCGUGCCACCAAAAGCUGUCCUUCUGAACAAAAGCCAAUGAUGAUUUGGACAAAAUUAGUUCAACCAUUUGUUUCUAUUAAUUGUCAGUUACCAGAAUCAAAUGGCACUGUAGCUCCCAAAGAAGCUUGUGAACAUUGUGGUCUUGGCAAAAAAUUUCUCAGGAGCAUCCCUGAGUCUUCGUUUGCUAAUAAUAUUCCUUUAUCUUCGAUGAGAGGUGGAUAUCUCGUAAAUACACCCAAUAGGUCUGCUUCUAUACACGACGCUUGUCAGACAGAGAUCGAGGAGGGUGAAUUCAUACCAGAUGUCGGAAACAUCCAGUUAGGGUCCAUGCUUGAACCUGAGAAUGGAGCAGCAAGUUAUGAUGUUCCUGAUCCCAGUGAAGCUGGGUCAAGUUUUCGGUGCUCAGGCAGUAGUAUUUAUGAUCAGGGUAAUAAAUCUGAAGUGCAUCAUGAAUCAAGAGAAGGCUGCAAUGUUGAAAUGGGAAGUUUAGCAUAUUCCAAGAGACCAGCUGAACCGCAUGAUGUGAAUGGCGGUAUACCUUGCUGUUCUCUGGUUGUGCUCUUGAGGCUUCACCAGAUUUUGUGUGAGAGACUACUAGUAGCAAAAGUUCUUUCGGCAAAAGCAAGGGACAAAGCUCCUUCUCGAGGUUCCGGCACUUGUGAUGUAUAUGCGGGGUUUAAGGAGGAACUCUUUAACCUACUAACAGGCUCUACUAACAGUUCUAACUUUGAGAAGUACUGCCUGACUUUCCUUGGGCCGAAAUCCUAUGUACUCUUUACUCUAAACGAGGUGAUGGGCCGAGUUAUCAAGCAGUUAAUUUGUCCUCCAGCUCUGCAAAAUUUGUCCAGGUGCUGAAGAUAGCUCGCUUCUUCAGCCCCAUGAGGGAGCGAGAGGACCAGACCCAUCCAAAUAUAUAUCCCGCCAUCAAAAUGCAAUAAGAUCUCCGGCUCGUCCAACAAACGGAUCACUGGAGCAAGAUCAUCAUGAGGAGGGCGAGAAAGGUAGCAAGCCUCUCGACGACACUGGUAAGCCGAUGCAGAACCAUUUUCAGAGAAGGAAAAAGCGGAAGCUGGAGGCGGGUAUAGCGAGCAUAUCUCAGCCUGGCGCAGAUGGUUUAAACUCGUAGCUCCCGGAUGGAACUCGUAGUAGAAUAGCUGUUGUACAAAAGUUUGUACCAAAUCCAUCAUGAAUGUAUGCUUGGGUGUAGUGUAGCAAAGCAAUUUUGUUGGCUGCAAUAGGCAUGCACGAGCUGGUAGAAGUCGUAGUCGUAGCCCACAGAGAUAUAUAAAUGGUGAGCAGAACACCACUUUUUCUGCUGCUGAUCCUAUAUGAGUGUAACCUUAUUAGCUGAGAGAUUGAAUGCCCUAAGUAGGGAAGAUGAGGCCAACUGGCCAGCCAACUUUUCGAACCGGGAUUACCCCCAUUUCCAUUGCAUAACGGAAGCAACAUUGAACUAAGUCUGGAAAUAGAGCUUGGGGAGGAGGGGGAGCAA